rnacentral:rRNA from 1 species
GAUGAACGCUGGCGGCGUGCCUAAUACAUGCAAGUCGAGCGAACAGACGAGGAGCUUGCUCCUCUGACGUUAGCGGCGGACGGGUGAGUAACACGUGGAUAACCUACCUAUAAGACUGGGAUAACUUCGGGAAACCGGAGCUAAUACCGGAUAAUAUAUUGAACCGCAUGGUUCAAUAGUGAAAGACGGUUUUGCUGUCACUUAUAGAUGGAUCCGCGCCGCAUUAGCUAGUUGGUAAGGUAACGGCUUACCAAGGCGACGAUGCGUAGCCGACCUGAGAGGGUGAUCGGCCACACUGGAACUGAGACACGGUCCAGACUCCUACGGGAGGCAGCAGUAGGGAAUCUUCCGCACUGGGCGCGCGCCUGCCGGCGCCCCGCCGCGUGAGUGAUGAAGGUCUUCGGAUCGUAAAACUCUGUUAUUAGGGAAGAACAAAUGUGUCAGUAACUAUGCACGUCUUGACGGUACCUAAUCAGAAAGCCACGGCUAACUACGUG